rnacentral:rRNA from 1 species
CACGUAGGGUGCGAGCGUUGUCCGGAAUUAUUGGGCGUAAAGAGCUCGUAGGCGGUGUGUCGCGUCGGCCGUGAAAACCUGCAGCUUAACUGUGGGCUUGCGGUCGAUACGGGCAUCACUGGAGUUCGGCAGGGGAGACUGGAAUUCCUGGUGUAGCGGUGAAAUGCGCAGAUAUCAGGAGGAACACCGGUGGCGAAGGCGGGUCUCUGGGCCAACACUGACGCUGAGGAGCGAAAGCCAGGGGAGCAAACGGG